UAUAUAUGUCAUUCAAGUCUUGGUUGAUAAACACAGAAUAUUUUUAUUAAUGUUGAAAUAUACCGGAUUAACUAACACAAUUUCACGUUACACGUAACAAGUCUUUUAACAGUGUCGCAUUUAUUCAUUAUAUGGGCCUGUAGGAAAUAAGAAAUCAACAAGUUGGACAGCCCUGCUAAUAGUACAACCUUGAUUUCCGUUUUGCGUCAGAGAGCUGACCUUCAAAGUAGGUACAGAGCAAUAACUAAUACUCAAAAUAAUGAUCAUUACGCCUGAAUGACUAGUCAUUAGAAACAUUGGUUAAUAAUGAUAAGAAUGAAAAAUCAAACGAAAUUAAUUUAUAGCAAUAGUAUCUUUUCUUAAUAAACUAAACAAAUAACCGAAAAUAAUAAUUUUUAAAUAGAAAAUUAGAACAAAUGAAAAUAGAACAAAUUAAGAUUUAUCUAUGAAUUAUAUAAGUUAAAAUUAUAUUUUUCCACUUUGUAAAUUAUUUAAAUUAUAAUGAAUAAAAAUAAAUUUUAAUAAAAUGAUAGAUAAUAAUAAAAAACUAAAAUAAUAAAUGUUAUUAACAUUUUGAUAUUUCACUCUUCGCCUGAAUUGUGAGAAUAUUUAAAAAAAAUUUUAAUAAGAAAUAGUUUUAUUUGCUUCCUUAAAAUACAAGUUGACGAUAUUUUUUUAAAACGCUGGCUCUAUGACGUAGAGUACA